rnacentral:pre_miRNA from 1 species
CUGUGUGGGGCUCGCUGUGGGUCCGAGGCGGGCGAGCGGUCCGGCGGGAGGGCGAUGGCGGGGGCCGCAGCAGG